rnacentral:rRNA from 1 species
GACAGAGGCCUCGAGCGUUAGGCGGAAUCACUGGGCUUAAAGCGUGUGUAGGCGGGCCCGUAAGUGUCUUGUGAAAUCCCACGGCUCAACCGUGGAACUGCUGGGCAUACUGCGGGUCUUGGGCCAACUAGGGGCAGCCGGAACAAGCGGUGGAGCGGUGAAAUGCGUAGAUAUCGCUUGGAACGCCGAAGGUGAAAACAGGCUGCUGGGAGCAAUCUGACGCUGAGACACGAAAGCCAGGGGAGCGAACGGG